UGUUGGAAUGUCUCUGGCUCAAAUAGGAGAGUUUGCUUUUGUUCUUCUUAGCCGUGCUUCAAAUCUGCAUCUAAUUGAGGGUAAAGUGUAUAUGCUGCUUCUGGGAACUACUGCACUUAGCUUGGUGACCACACCUUUGCUUUUCAAGCUAAUUCCUGCUGUUGUGCAUCUUGGAGUACUACUGCGGUGGUUCUCGCCUGAAAUUCCAAAUGAGAUUGGACCCAAAGGAGAUAUCCUACGUGCAGACAGUUCUAAGCGUAUCAGUGUACUGAUCCAAGGAUCCCGUGAUUCAUGAUAGUUGCAUUUAAAAAAAAGCAACAUCAAAAGAAAAUCUCAAUGUUACCUGAUGGCAUUCUGAUGCUAGAAGAGAAGAGAGGAAAGGAGGUUGACUGACUGGACAGUUUAUAAUCAUGAAGCUCUUAUGUACCAACGUCAGGUAUUCUUCUUUGAUACAUGAGAGAGGUUGCAGAAUGUAGAGCCGUUGACCUAUCUGCCAACAUCUUCUGGCAUUUAUUUUUUGAUACGUGAUUACUUCCCAAUUAGGUGCUACAUACGAUGAUGUCCAUCUGUCAUGCAAUUGUUUAUAUUCUCUAGUUUGAUGUUAGUGUUGUUUUUUCUGGGGUAGUGUCAAUAUCAGUCUGUAAAUAGAUGAUGAACACAUGACUGUAAGAAUAUAGCUGUGUAUGGAACUGAUCCUGGAACUCUUGGGUGGAGAAGUCAGUGCAUAAAGAUGCAUGUACUCCAAACUCCUACCUAAGCACUUUACCUCAUUUUCAACGUUUGCACUUGAGAAUGAAUUUGCUAUUCUAACUAGCAAAGCUAAAGGAAGAACACAGAUGAUGAAUUUA
rnacentral:misc_RNA from 1 species